UUUAAGAAUUCUAAUUAAUAUAUGUGAAUAAAACUAUUAGAAGUAAUAAGAGAAACAUGCCUGAAUGCAAAAAAACAAAACAAUAGAAGAUAGGAAUGGAAAUGCAUUUUUGUUGAGGGAAAAGAAAGUAAUUUUAUCCUAGAGCAAAGCUAGUUAUUGAAAGACAGGAAAAUAUACGGUAAAAUCCAAAUGUAAAAAAAAAAAAGUUAUAGAUUUGUGAAAAAGGAAUCUCUAAAAUGUAAUUUUAAUAUGUAAUCAAGCUGGCUAAAAUUAAAAUAAGACUUUUAAUAAGUACACUGAUGCAAAAUUUAAAUUUUGUUUUUCUUGGUUAAAAGGACAAUUUUCUUAGAUUAUUGGUCUGCUCUUACCAAGAAAUAGUAAACAAAGAUUUUUCUUUACUUUUAAUGUAAUCUGCCUAGAAAAUCAAAGAUUCUGUGUUUUGUCUUUACCAGGUCUUUUUGCCAAGAACUUUGGAACCUGCGUUUACCUGUGAAGUCUGUCACGGUGGUUGUAUAGAUAACUAAGUAUGGUUUCACAGUGACCUAUGAUCCUAUUUAGUCAAGUAUCCAAAACCAAAUUAUAAAGUGAAGACUUUUGACCACAAAUUAACUUUGAAAUAUUACAGAGUGUACCUGGAAUAUUUCAAAGAUUUGUUUUCUCAUAGAAAGUUAAACGUUAGACUAAUGAGGCUUAUUUGAUGUGCUAAAUUACAUGGGAAGAAUCAUCAGAUAGGUCAUGCUAAACCUUCUUAGCUUGUAUGGGUAAAUGUGUUACAGAAAUUGUAAAAAAAAUUCUAAAAUUCUGAUGCAUCCUGAUAUAAUGUUAUCAGUCAUAAUUCUAUUUACUUUCUUACGAUGUUUUAUGUCACAAAAAUAACCAAUUUAUUUUGUCUACUGAAUUAUGAGUUCUAAUCAGACCUUUAAUGAUUUCAUUUUUAAAUCUUUUGUCAUUUACAGAAAGUUGUUGUUUUGCUCAGAUGCUUCUACCAAAGCUUUCUACAAAUGUGUUUCAUCUUCAGAGAAAUUUAAGGGAAGGAAUCUGACAAGGACUUUAGAAUACAGAUUUUUGAUAACUUUCAUAUCAUAUCAUGGGUGGCAGCCAAACCUCAGGGACUUAACCCUUGGACAUGCAUCUCACAAUUGAAAAACGCUCCGCCUGACAUAAAGACUCUGGAGACCUUGCAGUCACAUUGAGGAGGAGGAGAAGUAGCUGACACAGAGGGCAAUACUUCUGUGUUCAGGAGUAAAUGUAAAUAUCAUCCAGAACCUAUCCUUAAAUCCUGAAGAUACUACAAAACUUAUUGCUAAGACAAUAUCUGCCCAACAAAGAUCCUCAAACCCUCUGGCCAAACUUGUUCUUGAUAAUAGAAGAACCUCUGAUUAUACUGUAGCUGAGCAAGGAGGAGUCUGUGCUGUGGCCAAUACCACCUGCCGCACCUGGCUUAGGAUUUCUAGGAAAGUUGAAACUCAAUUACAUAGAGACCCAAGCAAGCCACUCAGCUUAAAAAAGGGACUCCUUCAGUGGGGUCUUUCUUUGACUUAUCUGAUUUGACUGGUGGUCUUGGGAACCAUAGCUCUGAAAUGCAUUCCAAACAUUGGAGAUUAUUAUGAUUACUGUAAACAGGAGUUCCCAUAGUGUGCUGAAUUCUCUCAAAAGUUUUAUAUGCAUGUUUGUAGCUGGUAACCACCAAGGAAACCAUCUGCCUAAGGAUCAAAGAAAAUGGCUGGCUUAAAAAUUGUGAACCUGAAGUUAUGACCAGUGAAUACCACACACAUGCACACAAACAACAAAAACUUCAGGAAAUACAAAGCAGUAGCUCAGAGUGGCGCUAAUGCCUUAUUUUUGAUCACUUCUUUCAGUUAAGCUCAGUCAUAUCAAAAGAGGAGAAUUGUUAAAAAGAAAACCACAGUCUCCAAAUGAAGUUGCUUAUGUUAGAAGCCCCAGGUCAGAAAACCAAGACUUAAUACCUAGCCUCAAGGCAGUUUCAACCCCCCAAGGAAUGUAACCUUUAACUAGUUAACCUGGAAUUUCCUGGUCAUCACUAGGGAACUUACUGGUUGACUCCUUCUGUUUCCCUUAGGAGACCAUCCUUGCCUAAAACAAUGUAUUGUUUGCUAAGAAUUUUCUUUUUAUCUCCACUCCUUCUCUACCUUUAAAAGUCUUUCCUUUUCUUCAGCUCAAUGGAGUUCCUUUCUGUUUGUUAGGUUGGAUGCUGCCUGAUUCAUGAAUUGUUUAAGAAAGCCACUUAGAUCUUCAAAUUUACUCAGUUGAAUUUUGUUGUUCAACACCUCAGAAUAGCCCAAAGAGGUAGCACUUAUGCCACAUCAUCUCAUAGAUGAGGGAUCAGAGGCUCAGAAGGUUGUGUCAGUUCUCAAGGUGACAGAAAUAGAAGGUGUCAACAACAAAUUUAAUUCUGGAACUGUUUGACACCAAAUCUUGCACUUAUGAACACUAUGCCAAGAGAAAACUUAUAGUAUCCAAGUUUUUGAUUGAAAACAGUUUGAAUCUUAGUUUUCAAUUUAUUUUUAACCCUUGCUAAUGAAAGAAGUAUGUAAAGCUAUUAAAUGCCAAAACAGUCCUGUCUUAUCUGUUUCUAUUACUGUUAAUUUGUUCCCUUAAUUGUUAAAAAAACAAAUUCAAUCGAGUAAAUUUAAAGAUGAUAUAGGCUUUAUUUAAUGAUUCAUGAAUCAUGCAGCAUUCUUUCUAACAAAUAGAAAGGAGCUCCAAAAAGCUACAGAAAAGAGAACGUUUUUUAAAGGCACAGAAAGGGUGGGAAGAGAAAAUUUAUAAGCAAAGGGUGGAUUGUUUCAGGCUAGGUAACCUACUGAUAGGGGACAGAAGGGGUCUUAUCAGUGAUUACCUCAUGAGUGCUAGCCAAGUAAUUCCAGGUUGAUUAGGUAAAGGUUACACUCCUGGGAAAGGCUUGAAACUGCAAUUAUAUUAGGUAUUAAGUCUUGGUUUACUGAUGUGGGGUUAAGCACAAGUGAUUACAUUUUGGGCCUGUUGUUUCUUUUUAACAUUAUCAAAGCCUUAACAAGAAAUUGAAGCAUUUUAGAGAUAAAAUAUAAAGAAUAUUAACACUUAUGUACCCCAAAUAUAGCUUAAAAAUUGAAAUGUUACCAAACUGUUUUGACUCUUUACAUAAUUCAUAUAAACACAAUUAAUUACCUACCCCUUCCUUCACAAUGUAGCCACCAUUCUUAAAAAGGUGGUUAUCAUUCCCAAGGAAUUUUAUUUUAGUUUUCUUUAAUUUUUUUUUAAUGUUUAUUUUUGACAGAGAGGGAGACACCGAAUCUGAAACAGGCUCCAGGCUCGGAGCUGUCAGCACAGAACCUGACAUCAGGCUUGAACACACAAACUGUAAGAUCAUGACCUGAGCCAAAAUUGGACACUCAACCUACUGAGCCACCCAAGUGCCCCCAUUCCCAAGGAAUUUUAAAUGAAAUAACAAUUUCUAUAUGUAGGGCCUAAAAUCAGUGGAUAUAAAACAGUACAAUCAUAAUAGAGGUUUUGUUUUAUUUUAUAUAAUAUUCUAAAUAUGUUUUUAAAUAAAAACAAAUCUGAACUCAGCCAAGGAAAGAUUAUCUGAAAAGACUAUUAUAAUAGGGAGAACAUCCAGAACUUGAUAUCUGCAAGUAUUUCUCAUACAAAGCAAAUGCAAAGACUUUUAUCCAGAGUAGUAAGCAGGGUUAAGCAGGGUCAGCAAGAACUGAGAGGGGCAAAGGUGGUGUAACAGAUAAUGUUUCCUUCUGUUACCAGCUGAUCAAUCGAAUGAGCUUUAAAAAGACUAUGUUCUACCCCUUUAGUACUACCUUCAAAUGGAGAGUAAGCUAAAGUUCAUAGGCCUAUGGGGAGAGGGGAAGCCUGACUACAUUCUGGCCAAGCCACAUCAGUGAGUAAGUAAAUAAGCCAUUUGUGUUCACCUUGGUCAUCAUCUUUAUGUUUAAUAUGGGCAAAGUCUGUUUAAAUAUAAUUCAAGAUGGAUAAGAGUUGUGAAUUUGAAGUUUGUAGUUUCCAGAGUUGGAUUGUCCUUUGCUUUCUUUUUGGUCUUGAUGGACUAGUUGUAUCAUCUCUUGAGCAUGUUGUUGGACUAUGAGUAGUUAGAAUAUUUAAGAGAUCAAGCACUUGGGACAGCUGGGUGGCUUAGUAGGUUGAGCAUCUGACUUUUGGCUCAGAUCUUGAUCUCACAUUCGUUCAUGGGUUCAGUCUCUGUGCUGCUCUGUGCCACAUCAGGUUCUGUACUGACAGCUCAGAGCCUGGAGCCUGCUUUGGAUUCUGUGUCUCCAUCCCUCUCUCCCUCUCUAAAAAAAUAAAAUAAAACAUUAAGAAAAGAGAAAGAGAGACCAAGCACUUGGUGAGAACCAUACCUAAGAAUAUAAUAGAAAAGGAGUUGACCAAGGUGGCAACAUAGGAGGCUCCUAAGAUUCCCUCUUCCCAUGGCUGCAUCAAAUAUACAUACAUGGAGAGAUUCUCUCUGAAAGAGACCCCAAAAAUAGCUGAGUGGCUCCCACACACAAAACAAAUUAGAAAAUACCCACAUCAAAAUUAAUUACAAGACUUGAUGUGCUUCUACCCAGAGACUAGGGGAGCUGGUGGACACUGCUCCUACGGGCUCCCUCCAGCCUGCUCCAAGUCACCAAAAACUCCCUGGAAGGAGCUUGCAUAAACGUCUGCACCCCAGCUUUUGCAACUGCUGCCAAGGGACGGGUCCACAAAUGUCUGAUUCUGAGCUGAAGGGGUUUCUAUUCAUGAGUCCCCCAGGACUGUGGCAAACAAAGAAGUGAUUGUUAACCAGCUAUCUCACUAGGGCUCAGCCCAGAGAGAGCCACCAAAAUUGUCCAUAUCUCAGUCACAAAGGUGUAAAUGUAGAAAUUAAUUACAAGAAAAAAACUUGAAAAUUCACAAAUAUGUGGAGAUUAAAUAACUUGUCCCUGAACAACAAAUGAAUCAGGAAAAAAAGGGGGGGGGGGUCAAACAAUAUCUUGAGGCAGAUGGGAAUGGAAACACAACAUACCAAAACUUAUGCAAUGCAACAAAAGCAGUCCUAAGAAGGACAUUUAUAGAGAUAAAUGCUAUUUUAAGAAAUAAGAAAUAUCUCAAACAACCUAACUUAAUUUCUCAAACACUGGAAAAAGAAGAGAAAAUUGAGCUCAGAGUUAUCAGAAUGAAUUAAAUGCCAAAGAUUAGAGCAAAAAUAAAUGAAACAGAAGCAAAAGGAAAAAGCUCAGUGAAAUGAGCUGUUUUUUUUUUGAAAAGAUAAACAAAAUCAACAAUGUUAGCUAGACAAACCAGGAAAAAAUAUGAUGUGUCAUAUAAAAUUAUAAAUGAAAGUGAAGGCAUUACAACUGAUACUACACAAAUAUGAAGGGUCAUAAAAGAAUAUUACUAAUAAUUAUAUGCCAACAAAGUGGACAACAUAAAAAAACACGGAUAAAUUCCCAGAAACACAAAAGACCAACACUGAAUCAUAAAGAAAAAGACAAUCUGAAGACCAAUUACUAGUAAGGAUACUGAAUUACUAGUCAAAAGUUUCCCAACAAAGAAAAGUCCAAGGCCAACAGACACAAGAAAAGAUGGUCAACAUCACUAGUCAUCAGAGAAAUGCAACACAACCACUCUGAGAUGAUGACCUUACAUGUGUCAGAAAUGCUAUAAUCAAAAAGAUAAGAGACAUCAAGCGCUUCAAAAAGUUCAAAUUAACUGCUCCAAAAAGAUGACAGUAUAGGGAAUAUUAUUUUAAAGUAUUUCCCUCAUUAUAAUUUAAUACCACUUAUCAAUUUUAAAAAUACUACCUUUGACAAAAAAAAAAUUAUAUCACUGUAUAAUUUACCGGUGUAUUCAUAUGUCUAUUUAGGAGUUCAGGACCAUAGGCGUGCCUGAAAGGAUUUUUCACAAAACAACAACAACAACAAAAUGAAAAAAGAGAGAAACCUAUCACCAUUAGACAAUUGAACUUUUACUAUAUAGAGGAUGCUUAGAGUACAUAUACACAGAACAACAAUUUGUAAAAUUUUCUUAUUUAUAAAUACAUCCUUAUUUACAUGGAAACUUUUUUCUAGAUACUUUUUAGAUAUUUGAGAUAAUUAUGAAAUAGUUUCUUUAUGACUAUUAGUAAACACAAUAUAAAUGGUAUUUCUCCACGUGUGCUCAUAAACCUUAAUUAUAAAUGUACUGUGAAAUUUUUAUAAAAUAAAGCCAUAUUGUGAUUACAAAAGUUUAUGUUCUUUCCAAUCUAAAGCAAGCUGAACUAAAUUUAGCUGUAUAAUACGAUGUUUUUACUUUGUUUUAUGGUAAACAAUUCCAAUAAACCAUACGGUUAUGCAGUAUUUGUUAGGCAGUGCAUAUUGUACAAAAAUGGUUUAUCCUUUUUAUUGAAUUUAUUCAUUCCAAACAAUAGUAUGUCAUUUCAAUAAACAGAAAAAUUAAGAUAAGACUGAUUUAUAGAAAUAUUGGAAAGGGAUCACUAUGUAGUCCUUUAAGAGGAGAAUAUGUUCAAAUACUUGUAGAAAUUUGAAUGUUAAAUAGUUGAAUGAGUUAACUAAUGAAUUCAGCAAAAAUGAUUGACUUGUUAACACUUAGCAUUGAAUUUCUGUU